CAUGGCUAAUGGUCUUUGCCCAUCUUUGGUGACAAAUAAUUGAAUUUAUAUUUCCUAUAUCAUAUCAAACAAAUACCUUCCUCCUCAGACUACAGUUCAUCCCUCGAGUGCUGUUGAAUGAUCUGUGUUAAGAUUUCAGGGCAUUAGAGGUAGAUAUAGACACCUGACAAGUGAAAAUAUUUUUCUAAGUUCUUUUGUAAUAUAGUAUCCAUCACACAGAUGAGAAUCUCCAACAUGGAGAAAUCUUAGAUGGGCCUGUUAGAAUCACAAAGGUCAGACAGAAAAACUUUGAAAGACUGGGUCCCGAGCACCUUUAAAUGUCUUCUUGGCGGGGGGAGGGGUGAGGUUCACAUUAAAGUAAGAUGGUGAACAAGUAUAACUGCUGGUCCUCUUCCUCAAGAUCAGUCCAAGAGGUGCCAUAUGUGGGAAACUCUAGAACAGAAGUUGCGACUCUAGGGGAGGUUGAGCUGGGGAAUGACCGGUGAGUUUGUGGGGCAGUGGCUUUGGAUGUCUUCUGUGUCAGGCCAAACAGUGCAAUGAGAAGAUACAGCAGAAAAUGAACUGUAUGAGUUUGGGUCUUGUUCCUUGCCUGCAUUGCUUUUAGAACAAGCAGUGCUUACUUGACACUUGUGCUGACUUGCGUCCUCAGAAGUAGUCAUGGCAGCAGAGAAGCCAUGAAAAAUAGCUCGAGUACAGUACAACUAAUCUCAAGUAAUAACGUCCCUACCACUCUUACAUUCUCAAGACUGGCAAUUUACCCAUGGAGAUUUCUCCCCCUAAAUCUGCUUCUCCCUAGGAGACACAGGUCAAUUUGUUUUGUGGGCAGGGGAAAGAUUUACUGUCUAUACUUGGUGCCUUGCACUCUUCAUCCUGGGGCUUAUACAUCCUCUGAUGCUGGGGAAUCUGCAGUGAAUGUGCAUUGUGAUAGUAGUCAAUAUCACCAGUGGAAGUGAACUCACAGGAUGAUACAAAGAUUUGAGGAACAAAUAUUUCAGAAGAAAAAAGACUCCAUGAAGGGGCUUGUCCAGUGGCAUAUUGGUUAAGUUUGUGUACUCCACUUCAGCAGCCUGAGGUUUGCCGGUUUGGAUCCAGGGUAUGGACCUAUGCACCGCUCAUCAGGCCACGCUAUGGUGGCUUCCCACGUACAAAAUAGAGGAAGAUUAGCAUGGAUGUUAGCUCAGGGCCAAUCUUCCUCACCAAAAAAAACCUCCACUGAAUUAGAAUCCAUCAGAAGUGGAAUUAUUAGAAUAGAUGAGCCACUAGCAGCAGUGGUCACAUUUGUAUUAGUAUGUUAAUAAGAUACAAUAGGCUUUUAACAUGGCAUAAAGUUGACUUAGCUUUAUAGAAACAGGACAGGAAAUAGAGCUGUCCACCAUCCUCAAUCCUAUCAGGAAAUCCUACGACUAUGCAGCUUCUUGGACCCCUCGUCCCUGCAGAGAUGUGAAUGGUGGUUAAGGAUGAGCCUAAAAUGUGUCAUGUUCCACCUUCACACGGAUCGCUGCAUUGAUUUCCCAUCAGAGUAGCGUCAUUUUAGUUAUAUAGAUCCAAGACUGUUACAGGCCCCUGAGUCUAGGUAGAGUCUCACAGAUCAGCAGAUUCAUGGUAAACAAGACAAUCAGGUCUUUGUGUACAGGAUUUCACCUUUAUCUUAACUCAGUAAGAUAACUUAGUGAUUUGAAUCUAAUUGCUGUUUGAUUUCUAGCCCCUGAUUUCUAUAUUCGGAUUCAGGAUAAUAUAGAGUAGGCCUGUGUUUCACUACAACUCAUGGGAAAGUACUACCUUUAUUACUGUGAGUUAGUUUUCUGGUUUUUAGAAAAAUCUUACUCCCACCCUAACUAAUUUUACAGUCUGUUUUUGAAGAUGCUACAGAGAAGGACAAAUGAAGUGCAACCUGAGGUACAACAUUUGUCUCCCAAAGAUAUGUAUUGCUGGUUGCCUCAAGGUUACGUAGAGAUUGUAGAAGUGUGGACAAGGUGAACUCCCCAUGAGGACUUGACAUUCAUUUUAAGUACAUUAUCUGUACUAAGGAGCACACAUUGUAUUCACAUAUACGCUAGUUCCAGGUCUCACAGUGUGUAUUCUGUAUGGAAGACCAUAGCAGAUGGCUAGCUUGUCAAAGAACUUUGACAAUAGCAAAGCUCAGCAUGAGGAAUAGAAAGAUUCUCUCUCCAAUUCAGUAAACUUUCGUAGUUCAGAUGCCUGUGUUACCCUAUCAAACUAAAGUAACCAAAAGGACAUUUUUAUAUUCUAAAUAGAGGUGAGACUAUGUUUAGUUCAUCGGCAGGUCAACAUUUGGAAGAAUUGUACUGCAAUUGGUCCAUACCUGGGUCAACUUUCAGCUCACACGAGGUACAGUGGGGUUCUUCACAUUAUGCUUUUAGAAGUAGGCGAAGCCUAUUGCUAUUUCAGCUGAUAGUCUCACUGCUAUUAAGUCUUUGUCUAGUUACACAUCAAAAUACUGCUCUAGAAUUAAGACACAAAUCAUAGAAACUUCUAAGGAAAUGGGAAGUACUAUUUCUAGAGAAGUAGAAAUGUGAUAUGCUCUUUAACAAGAUGUGACUCCUGGAACUCAAUUGUUCUGUCACAAAGCCAGUAGUUAAAAAAAAAAAAAGAAAAAGAUUUGCUAGUUCAACAAGAAGCUUAUGUAAUUGCAUUCUUUACUAUGAGUGUUUUGUAUUAAAACCGAGUUCAUACCAUAGGAUGUGGCUAAAUAUCACUUUAGAAGUGUAACUUCUGUUUAUCUAUAAAGAAUGUCAGAAUAAUGAAAACAUAGAAUAAACUGUUAAGAUGUACUCAUGUAUUGCUUAGUGUGGCUGUGUAAACAUUUCAAAGAAGCUGGUGUGUAUACAAUUUUAUUUCCAUUUGGAGCAGUAGGACUGUACGUAAUUGCUCAGGAAGCUUAUUGAAAGUAAAAUUUGAGCCCUACAGAGAUUGCCUCUGAGUCUUCAGUGGAGUUGAGAAAAAUCUAUGCUUUUAAUUGAUGCCAUAGAUGAUUUUGGCCCAGCUGGUCCAGUUUUUGGUAACCUAUCAUAACUGCUAUUUUCUAAAGAGUACUUUCUCGUUAUAACCUUUAUACAUAUUCUUACAAUUCAGAGGUAGAAGUAGUUUUUAGAAGGUAGUCAUAGUUGCUAAGUAUUGGGUAUUUUUCGACUACCUUCAAAAUGUGUUUCAACAGAAAGUGAAAUCUCUCCAGCUGUCAUUUUUUGCAACAGCUGUCCAAGAAGCAACAUUCUUAAGUUGGCUUAGUGAAAGCGAAACACUAUGCAUUUUGAAUUUAAUUUAGAUACAUGUUUCUGAAUAGCCAGGUUUGAAAUCUACUAAAAACUUAGAGAAUCUUUAAGUUGGGGUUUCACUGCAAAUUCAGCAGAGUUCUUAACAGUUCAAAAGCCCUCAUUUUAGAAUAAGUUUUUAAAGAAAUAAGUGAAGAAUUGACUUGACCCAAAUUUUGGGCUGGCCUUAUUCUCUGAGCCCUUGGGAAGUGAUCUCUAAGCUCUUGGAAUGUCAUGCCUGAUAAGUGUCUGUUUUCCUGGGGGCUUUGGGCCACAUCAGAUAGUCUAACAACGUGAUUUAGUGUGUGGGCUUUGGGUCACAGGUGUCAGCUUGACCUCUGGAGGGGCUGGAGACUGAAGUUAGCCACUUGAGCAGGCAGCCAGGACUGUGUGACCAAGGCCCCCAAAAAUCUCUGGACACAAGGCUCAGAUGAAUUUCCAUGGAUAGAAGAUAUCCUAUGAAUGGUCAGAAAUUGUUGCCAAGAAAGUUAGUGCUGUGACUCUACUGGAAGGGGACACUAGAAUCCCUGUGCAUAGCACUUUUUGGGAUUCUGCCCUUUCUGAUUUUAAUCUGGAUCCUUUCACUGCAAUGAAACUGCAGUUAUAACAGCUUUUAAUGAGUUCUGUGAGUCUUGAGUGAAUUACCAACUCUGAGGGCGGUCUAGGAGAUCUGAACAUAUAACAGUUGUCAGAAAUGAGGGUGGUUUUGUGGACCCCAAACCCUGUAGUUGGAAUCAGAAAUGGAGUGGUCUUGUGGACUGCUCUAACUUCACAGAAAUUUAGUGAGAAUAAGUUGCCUGUUUAAAUGUCAAAUUAGCAGUUUAGUUUUACUUAACCCCAGUCAUCAAUAUUUUCAGAUUCUGUCACUGGUGAUCCUUUAAUCUGAUUUCAGUGAUUUCCUUGAAUUUUCUUGAGGCCAUAAGCACAGCUCCUGAAAGGCUCCCAACAAAAAGAGAAUGUGAAGGUUUACAUUCACCAGCAUCUUUAGGCUCUAACCUAUCAAAACAAAACUAGUCCUCUCAAGUUGAUCAGAUGUACAUUUUUAUGGUCGUCUUAGGUGCUUGUUUUGCUAUCAAAGGCUUUGCUUUCCAUCAGGAAAAUAAAGUUCAUUGACCCUACAAAUGCAACGAGAAGAAGUGUCUCUUCCAUUUCCUUCAGUUGGCAUAAUUAGCUUUAUCUGAGAUUCGGGCCUUCAUACUUUCACAUUCCCUAAGCAAGAUGCUAAGAGGUUAAAUUUGGCUGUGAUUUGUGUUGUUUUCUAUCAAGUGCUUAAUAUCCAUUGGAAGCAGAAUCAGAGAUAAAAAAAAAUGGAGAGGAACUUUAUAGGGCCCCUUACCAAGAAACCAGAGGCCAAGCCACUGGCUUGAUUAAACUUAAUUUUUACUACUUUUCUUGACCAAUAAAGGAUCUCAUGGAGAUUUUAUACCCCUUCCCAAUCAUACAAACAAGGAUUAACCCAUUCAAAUUAAGUUAGUUCUGAAGAUCAGAGAUCUCCAAAUGUUAUUUCACCAGGUGACAUAUCUAGGGUUCUCAUUUAGCAAGACUUAAACUUCAAGUUUCUUAGGCUCCUUAAGGCCUAACCCAGGAAAUCUGCAGAUAUCCCUUGGUCAAGUGUAAUAGACAAUGAUGUGCCACCCAGCUUCCCUUUAGUGAGAGAUUUGUUGCCUCCACCGUUGUCACCAACCAGCCUUUAGCUGUUGGCCUCUUUAGGGAUCCUCAUUCUCAAACUUCAGGGCCAUACAUCUUCUAGGGCAGCCCAAUGACUGACCAAUGAGGGGAUAAACAUGGUUAACAUGGCCCAAAUUAGGACAAAGCUGAAAGACCAUUCUAGAAACAAAGCUCCUGGAGGAGUUGGGCAAAAACUACUAUUGAAUCUGCAUCAUAGCUUGCUUUUUAUCUCUGUGCACUUCUUUUCACUCCCUUCCACAGGGCACACUUUACACAUCCUGCACAACCAACAUUUUGUACUGAGAGAGAUCCAAGAAAGUAGACACUAAGAUAAGAUCUUCGAGUUGCAGCACUUCUGUCUAUCUGGUAAUGAAGACCCCAUCCCUCAUGGUAGAUAAAGAACAGACAACCUCUGGUAGCAGUCUGAUCAUUAAAACUUACUGAUGGUGUAUUGGGAUGAUAUAUUGGUAAAAAGAAAUGUGCUAAGUGGCAUGACACACUAGGCAUUUGUGAAAUUUGUUCUAUUAACAUGUGUUCUGUAUGAUCCUAGGAGUAAAAGGCAGCAAGAGUACUCCAUCUGCACAAAUAAGAGAUGGACAAUCAGGAGACUAAGGGCAGUUUCCCCAAUAAAUAUUCAUAAUCUUUUGCCCUGUGUUUAGACUUGGAACCCAUUGACUGAAUGUGUCUUCCUUUCUGAGAGGAGGAACUCAGCAAAACCCUGGGAAGGGUGCAUGGUAAUGAUUCCCCCAGUCUCUUCUCCAAAAGAGACCUAUAGCCAUUUAUUCAGGUAAUUGUAGACCGGAAAAAGGGUAACCAACCAUUUGGAGAAUGUGUGACAUGACUUCUGGGUAACACUGAUAUCCAGCAAUCCAAAGAUUCAUUAUGGAUCCCCUGUCACAGUGGAUGUGUAGGAGGGCCAGGUAAUAAGUGGAUUCCUCACCAAUAUCCAGCUCUUAGUGGGUCCUCUGGUUUGGGGAUGCACCUGAUGAUCAUCCCUCUUGCCUUAAUGUCUAGUCAGAAUGGGUACACCUGUCUAUUCAGGGUCUUGGCCUAUGAAGCAAGAGGUGUAGUGGAGAAGGCCAAGGAGAAGCCUUUGGAACUUCCCCUUUCUCAGGAUAAGAUAGUAAAUAAAAAGAUUGUGUGCUUGAAGGGAUGGAGGAAGUUAGUGACACUUUCAAAAUGACCUAAAGGAUGCGGGGGUGGUGGUCCUCAUUAUAUUCUCACUUAAUUCACCAGUAUGAGACCUAAGAGUGAGUCUACCUCAAAUUCAAGUGUUAACCUCAAUUAAGCUGCCUUGUCAGAUGUGCUCUCUGCUAGAGAACAUCGACAGUCUCAGGGACACAGUAUCUAGCCUUUGACUUGGUGAAUGCUUUUCUACAGAAUCAGGAAAGGGGCUGAGGAACAGCCUACAUCAACGUGAAAUGGACACUACACACAUUUAUCAUUUAGCCCCAGGGCUAACUUCACUUUAAGGAGUCCUGAAGCAGUGCUGUAAGAGGAUGUUUAUGAUGAAAAUGUUCUCCAAUCUGCUAUACAAUUCAGUAGCCGCUAGCCACACAUGGCUAUUGAGCACUUGAGAUGUAGCAUGUUGGAGGGCCUUGUUAAGUCACGUGUUAUCCAGAGCAUGGGAGACAGACACUAUGAGGAAGAAAAUGCCCAAGUUUGAUUCAUGGGUGGAUCUACCCGGGAGUGCAAGUCAAAGAUGGAUGGCUGCUGCAUAACACUCCCACUGGAGGGUGACCUUCAAUGAUGGCAAGGGGGAAGUACUCCUAAGGGGUAUAAGUUUAGUUGGUGCACUUGAUUACCCAUUUUGCAUGGAAAAAGAUCUUCAUUUUGAGGUUUAAGUACACAUAUGUACUAGUGGACAGUGGCAAAUGGCUUGACUCCUGGUCAGAGGCCUGGAAGGAGAAAAACUGGAAACAAGUUGGUGUGGAGCUGAGGCACAUGGAUAGGCAUCUGGGAGUAGAACAAAGUAUCUUUAUAAUGCACGCUACCACUCAGCAGAGGGGAUCUAUCAGAAAAGAUCACUAGUCUAGUAGAUACUAUAUGAAGAUCCUGCAAUAUUUAGCAGUUUGGAAAUGGGCACCUCAUUUCACACCAGGACAGGCCAAAAGAACAAUGGCCAGAGGAUUAAGCUGGCUGCUAGCUACCAAAUUAGGCCUAAGGCCAUAUGAAAGUCCAUGACAUUGCUGUUAUGUCUAUGAAGUUUGGGGCACUAAGAAUUCUGUAGAAGACCCAGCUAGAAAACACAGGGGUAAUAAGUUCUCCACAGAUAUGAAUAAGCAGUACAGCUAUUUUCAAACUCAAACCUACUGUGUUAACCAGAAAGAAAACACAACCAGAUCUACAAAGUUACAUAGAAGCUAGUAUUAUAUUGCUCCCCACAGGCAGAAGGCCCGAGGUCCAGGAAAUAGAUCUCAUAGGAAACAGGCUCAGGAUAGAAAGGCCUUUAAAAGAUUUGAAAAGCCAUGACUAAAUGGAACUGUAGAGCUCCAGGAAGAGGCACCAGAGAAGGAAGAUGUGUAAUACAGAAGUCCAGUUCAUCAAAAUGUCUUGGCUUCUUUGAUUUCUGCUCAUCCUAAUAAGUUUGUUGAAAAGCUUGGGACACUUAACCCAGUCUUGAGACACAGGUCCAGAUGCACUAACAUCCAAGAUGAAAGAGAUACCUGCUGGAGUCCAGGCACCAAUUUCACUCAAGAUCAGAGGACAACCAGGUUUUCAUGUUAAGCCCUGCUAUGCCUCAUAAAAUAUCACUUUCCAACUGUUGGGAAGAUGGACAGGUGAAAGCCUUUAAUGCUCCUUGACCUUAAUGUCUGGCAUCUUGAGGGCAGGGAAUUUGUCAUUUGUUCCUUAGAAGUGCUAUUGUCUUAGUUCUAUUGUCCUGAAGUCAUUAGACCCAGGUAGAGUGGACACUAAGCUUUGCCCACUGGACUGUAGUGAGCAUUGUUCUAUAGCUUCAAGACACUAUUUCAAGGGUAAAUAGUGUCAUUUUCACUUUGAAUUUGGCGUUUGUUAAAAUGUAGCCUCUAUUCCUUCUCUUACUAGCCUUUUUUUCUAGGCCUCCUCACCUGAGCAGACAGGGGGAGACUGGCCACUCAUUUCUCAGCUCAAUCCCUGUCCUGGGUCCUUUCUACAUUCUAAUCCUAGUACCUUAUCUAUCCACUAUCAGUCAAUUUGUCAGUGAGGGCUCUAGUUAUCUUCACCAUUUUGAGUCAGAGUCUAUGUUCUCCAAUCUACCAUGUGAUGGUUAAUUUUCUAUGUCACCUUGACUGGGCCAUGGGGUACCCAGACAUUUGGUCAUACUUUCUGGGGGUGUCUGAGAGGGUGUAUCUGGAUGAGCUUAAUAUUCGAAUUGGUAGACUGAGCUGAGCAGACGCCCUCCCUAAGGCAGCUGGAUCUCAUCCAAUCAACUGGAGACCUGAAUAGAAAAAAAACGGUAAGAGAACUCCUUCUGUCCAACUCCUUUGAACCUGGACAUUGACCUUUUCCUGACUCUUGGCUCCAACUGAAAUAUCAGCUAAUUUUGGGUCUGGAGCCUGCUAGCUUUCUG
ensembl:lncRNA